rnacentral:misc_RNA from 1 species
AUUUCUAGAUAGCAUAUGGAAUAUCCCUCAUCGUGGGCCAAACAUUUUGCCAGUCUUGCUGAGUCUGAAGUUGUCAUGGGAGCUUUUCUUGACAAACCCAAGACAGAGAAGCAUAAUGAAGCGGGAAUGGGAAAUGGCCUUCAUUUUGGCCUCAGCAGUAUGCAGGGGUGGCGUGUGGAAAUGGAGGAUGCCCACACGGCAGUUAUCGGCCUACCGCAUGGCCUCACUGACUGGUCCUUUUUCGCUGUAUACGAUGGUCAUGCUGGAGCUAAGGUAUCGGCCUGCUGUGCAGCUCAGCUGAUGGAGCACAUUAUUGCCAAUGAAGAUUUUCGGGGCAAGCUUGAUGUCAGCCAGGGUACAGAAAUCCUUCCCUCUAUUAUGGAUGUGCAGAAAGGCAUCAAGACUGGCUUUCUUAAGUUUGAUGACUGCAUGCGAACAAUGCCAGAAAUGGUUAGUGGGGAAGACAAAAGUGGCUCUACAGCAGUAUGUGCUAUUGUCUCACCAACACACAUCUUCUUUGCUAAUUGUGGAGAUUCUCGGGCGGUGCUGUGUCGAGAUGCUAAAUGUCCGUUCUCAACUACUGAUCACAAACCUGUAAAUCCCAUUGAGAAGGAACGGAUACAGAAUGCUGGAGGCAGUGUUAUGAUACAGCGAGUCAACGGAUCUUUAGCAGUAUCCCGGGCUCUAGGAGACUUUGAAUAUAAAAAUGUUGAAGGAAAAGGGCCAUGUGAGCAGUUAGUAUCUCCAGAGCCAGAAAUUUUCACCGAAUGUCGAAAUGAGAAGGAUGAAUUCUUAGUACUUGCUUGUGAUGGAAUUUGGGAUGUCAUGUCCAAUGAAGAACUCUGUGAUUUUGUUAGGAGUAGAAUGCUCAUUACUGAAAGUCUUGAAGACAUUUGCAAUCAAGUUGUAGAUACAUGUUUAUAUAAGGGAAGUCGAGAUAACAUGAGCAUUGUCCUCAUAGCUUUUCCAGGAGCACCUAAGCUGUCAGAUGAGGCAAUAAGAAAAGAAAGAGAACUGGACACACGUUUGGAGAACAAAAUUAAAGAAAUCCUAGACAACUGCAAACCUGAAGAUGAUGUCGACCUUUCUCUUGUGAUGCACGAGUUGAUGGAUGAUGAAAUAGAAGGAUUGCCACCUGGUGGUGGUUUAAGUUCUAAGAGAAUGACAGUUGGAAGUAUUUUAAAGCGACUCAGACCGGGAAAAAUUGAGGAUGAGCUCGAACUUAAAGCCUACUCACCAAUGGGCAGACCAUCCAGCCUGCUCUAAAUAGAGGCUGCCUCCUUUCAAGGUUGGACCUUCUCAACAAGCAGCACUCUAAUCUAAAACACUUGGUUAAUUUUGGCCAUAAUCCUCUUGCUUUCUUUUCUUGCAAAUUCUUCACUUUCAUUGACUUCAGUUCAAUCUUAGCCUUAUUUAAUGGAGCAAAAAAGCUUCUGUAGUGAUUAAUGAGCUGUACUGAGAAGAUUGAAUGAUGGUUUUAUAGAAACUCAUGUACCAACACCUACCAACCACUUCCUGUCACAUGACUACUGCUAUGACUCUUACAGCUAUAAACAUUACUCUUGUUAAGACUGCUCUUAUCAUCAUUUCUCUUACCAAUUAUUAUACCACUGUUAUUACUCUGCUACAACUCACCACUAAUACUGGCACUUUGGUGGUCACUGAUGCAGAUCUCCAUAGAUGUGUACAAGUGAAAAAUGAUGUAGAAAAAGACUUUUUAUUUUAAUUGAUAUCAUUAGAAAAAAAAAAUGUAAAUUUAAAAAUAAAAUCAGGGGAUGAAAUGAGCUGUAGAAAGAGGCAUUCUACUGAGAGAGAGAGAGAGAGAGAGAGCUUGUUUUAGGACAUACAAUCAAGGAAGAGAACAGAUACACACUGUCAUGUUUCACUUGCUCAUUUUGUCUUUGUUCUUAUCUCCUUCCACUCCUUUUUCUCCAAAUUCUAUCUCUAAGCUGGUUUCAAUAAGAAAACGAUGUUCUUGAUCCUCUUCUUCACUGUCAGACACUUUUAAUUUUAUACACUGUAUCCUCUUUGAAUAAUUAGGAUUUACUAAUCAGCUUGGAGGAUUGUUUUUUUUUUGUUUUUUUUUUAAUGCUUUUAUUAUGUUUUUGGGGGAUUGGUAAGGCUUCCUCCUCUUCCUGUAAUAACAUCUGGGGAGGAUAGUGUACGGAAUGAGAGAAAAAGUACUUCUGUAAGAUUUUUGAAAAUUAUGAAAUGUUAACAUUUUUAAAUUCUUUCUCCAAUCUCAAAAAGUGUUAAAUGAAAAAAUUAGUAUUUUUCUUUUGAAUUUAAAACAUGAAAUAAAAAGGGAAAAAUGUAUCAUACUUUUUAAGAAUCAUGUAAAUUUAUCUUUUGUGAUUGGAAUGCUUCCACCUCAAAUUAGGUUUUUAGAUUCUAAUUUUCAUCAAUUUGGUCACCAACUCCCCUCCUUCCCAAAACAAAUAUCUCUAAAUUGAAUAAGAAAGCCAAUUUGAAGAAGAAAGAAAAGUAAACUGUGGAUGUAUUUCUAAGUUGCCAUUAUUGUUACAGUUCAUUCAUUUUGUUUUGUUUGUUUUUUUAACAUGUAUCAAAAUAAUUUUUGCCUGUUAAUAAUAGACCUGAUUCUUAGAAUUGGCAAUUCUCACUUACCUAGGAAGACUGACAAUUAUGAAGAUUUGGUAAAGCAUUUACAACCUACAUGGAAAGCUUAGUGAAACUUUUGUCACAAUUGUAACCUUUUCAUGUCAAAUCUGCAGCUGCUACAUAUUUCCCGAUCACAGUCGCAGAGUAAUUGUGGAAGACUGCUGUGUUUACAUUGGUUCAAAUCUUGUUUAAUCUACACAUGACUCACACACACCAACAUAAAAAAGAAAAAAAAGAAAAAGAAAAACAAACUUUCGUUGAUUAUCUUAUUGAUGAAGAAAGUGAUUGGGCAGAAGAGUAGCAGAAAUGAAGAAGCAGCCUGCAAAAUAUUGCAUUGGUACCAUGGAAAUGAAUUGUAACAGCAAUCAUUCUAACGAGUGGUGUUAAUCUUGAAAAAAAACAGUUGUAUUAACAACUUGCUCAAGGCAUUACCGACUCCUUUCUUUAUCUUCUCCCACUGCUUUUAUUUGCCUAGAUGUCUGCCUUCCUUCAAAACUGUUGAUAUUUAUUUUUACUUUUUUUUUUUUUUGCCUUUUAUAGGUGCUCUUAUUUGGUAUUUUUAGUUUUGAUUUUGAAAUGUCAUUUUAGAGAAACUAGUUGGAAAGGAAUCAGAAUUAACUUUCAGAUUCACCGAAUGCACAUAAGGGCAUGUGUGCAUGAAUUCUUCACGAAAUUCUAUCUUGGUUUUCAAGUGUGUAUUUUUUUUUGCCUUUUUUUCUUGUAAGUACCCUUUGUACUUGUGCUGUUUAGUUGAGUGUACCUACAUAUACAUGUUUGUUUGAAUUAUUUCAUCCAAUAACUCUGUGCCAAAGGCCUUACUAGUUAUUUGUACAUUAAAGGUAAAGUUGUUUCAUA